UUUGCCACCUCAUGCCACUCUUUGCCACUUAUUUCCAUGAAAAAAGGGUGGCAGUUGGUGGAAAUAGGUGGCAUUAGUUGGCGUUUGGUGUAAUUCAGCUCUUUUUUCACCUAAGUGGUAAAUUUGCCACCAAAAGCCACUUUAUUUUGGUGGCAUUUAGGUGGCAUUAGGUGUAAAUUUGAACAUAGUUUUUCUUUAUGGUGGUAGAAAGGUGUAAAAUUGGUGGAAAGUAGAACAUAGUUUUUUUUCAUGGUGGAAAUCGAGUGGCAUUUAGUGGAAAAUAGGGACUUAGCAAAUUUUCUUGGUGUCGAAUAGGUGGAAAAAAAACUUAGAAAUUUUUGUGAUGUUUGAUUUAAAAGAGAACUGUAAGACAUUGGAUUACCCUGUACAAAAAUCUUCACAUGGACUCAGGUUGGAAUCAAGGUAUAAUGGACUUCAGGCCUAAUUGACACGGAACCUGACUUUGCUAAAACUGCACAUUGACAACAGCUCGUAGAACACAAAAUGCUCCCUGCCCCCAUUUGAUGCGUUCAGUAACUGUACAAGAAACAGAAAUCAUUUGGUCACUGUGCACUGGACGUUUGAUGUACUACCUUUAAAUCAAUAAUUAUGGGCCAUUUACCAGUCAUAAGUGACUUCUGUAUGAAAUGUGAUCUUAGACCAAAGCAUUCUCUAGUUAUUGGGCAAAAAAAGUUCUAGUGUUCUGGGUCAAUGUGACCUAGACCAUUGACCGACCUCAAAAUCAGUAGGGGUCCUCUGCCGGUCAUGAUCAACCUCCCUAUGUAGUUUCAUGAUCCUAGGUCAAAGAGUUCUCAAACUAACAUCCGGAAACAGCUUAACUGUUCCAGCUCACUGUGACCUUGACCUUUGACCUACUGAACUAAAAAUCUAUAGGAGUUAUCUGCUAGCUAUGUUCAACCUUCCCAUUCACUUUCAUGAUCCUAGGCUCAAGAGUAUUAGAGUUAUCAUCUGGAAACUGUUUAACUGUUCCAAGUCGCUGUGAUUUUGACCUUUGACCUACUGGCCUCCAAGUCAAUAUGGGUCACUGCUGGUCAUGUCCAACCUACAUAUAAAGUUUCAUGAUUUUAGGCCCAAGCAUUCUUGUGUUAUCAUCCGGAAACCAAUUGGUCAACAUACCAAAUGACCGACAGACUGACCAACAUCUGCAAAACAGUAUACCCAGGCUCCUUCUUCAAAGGGUUUCAUUAAAAUCAGAAUAAGUCUAUGCUGACUCUAGCUGGACAAAAAUAAUAUUCAGAAUGGUAUACAGAAAAUUUGAAUUUUCGUUCUUUUGUGAGACAGAAUAUUUAUUGCUUAUUAUAGCUUUGCAUUAUAUUCAAUGAAAGACAGAAAAGGUGGAAAAUAGGUGGCAACUAGUGGAAAUUGGCUGUACUAGCUGAAUCUGAAAAGAUCAUUUUUAAAUGUGUCUGCAGUGUAUUAUUUCUGCAUGAGAGAAAGUUGGUUAAAGAUAAGAUUAAUGAUAGAUCAAGUUACAAGCUCCCACACAAAUGUAUAGAAACAACCCCAGGUGGAAUUUGGGUCAGUUAAGAUUUAUAUAUGCAGGCAAACAUCAGGUCAGAUGCAAAGAAAUAGUUCUUGCCUAUUCUCUUCAUUAACUGAAAAAAAAAGAAGUGUUUAUAAAAAGGAUGUUUUUACAAUAGCUUUUCAACUUAAGGAUUUGACACCUUCUUUAGCUGACCAAGAAAGUGUAUGUGUGGAAUCAAUUUAUCUGUGUAAUAAUACCAAAUUUUGAAAUCUGGCAUUUGAUGAGUCAGCCUGGGAGAAACUGGAAACACAUUGUGAGAGGUACCUUCUGUGAAAAAAGUGCAACUUUGUGACAUGAUAUGCCUGCCUGACUGUAUAUACCUGAGCAGCACACAGCUUAUUACUGCAUAAAAGAAACAUAUCAAGAACAUUUUGAAUCAGACUGUGUGCUGGAAAAAUGGCCCUACAUCUGAAAGGAGUGAAAUUUGGAGAGUCAUUCGCCAUCUACUUAAGCCAUCCUGGAAUAUGAAAAAAUAAGACUGCAUUGACAACAUCCUGAUCCUCGUGUUCAGAUCUUUUGUGAUUUCUUGUGAAGAGUCUUUGAUUUUUCAUAAAAACAAAAAAUAUAUUAAUAUAAUUUGAUUUUUGCUUACUACUGAGUUUUUUCAGAUUCAGCAGGUGCAGCCAAUUUCCACUAGUUGCGACGUAUUUUCCUAAUAUUGCCAGCUAUUUGGUGGCAUUUAGUGGAAAAUAGGACUGCCACCAUAGUGGCGUUUUGGUGAAAUUUUGUCUGCUUACUGCCACCUGUUAGGUGGCGAUAGGUGGAAGUAAGUGGCGUUUAGUGGAAAAUAUUUUUACACCAUAAUGGUGGCAUUUUAGUGGUAAUUUGUCUAAAUACUCCACUUACUGCCACCAUGAAGGUGGCUAUUGGUGGAAUUAAGUGGCAAACACAUUUUCCACCAUAAUGGUGGCAUAUUGGUGUAAAACUGUCUAAAUACUCCACUUACUGCCACCUAAAGGUGUACACAAGUGGAAAGAGGUGGAAUUUAGUGUAAAACGGGUUUGCCACUGUCCUGUUCAUUUUUUCACCAUUUUGGUGUCAUUUUAGGUGGCAUUUUGGUGGAAAAUUGUCUAAAUACUCCACCAUUGAAAAGGGUGGCAUUAUAGUGGCAAAUCUAGGGACGGGU